GUUUAAAGUCUUCAACCACCAUUUAUAUUUCUUGUUUUGAAAACUACAUUCUUAUCAGCCAGGCAGAGUGCUGGUUGGUCCCUCUUCCUGUUGGCUUCUGGUUGUGGGCUAAAACUGACCCUUCACUCAGGAUAUCUGGCUUAUUCUGGAUCAUUCAGCUGGAUCUAAAAUUGGAUCACAAGUGUUAAUCAUAAGAAAGAUGCAGCGAGCCCUGGGCAGCACCCCACGAGCGAACCUGAGCCUCGGGACCACAGGUGUGUGAUAUGGGCCUGCUUCAGAGUAUCCACAGCAGCUGACUAUGAUUUGCCUCGUGCUGGUUUUGACAGCUGCACAUUGUUUCUGGGAGCUUGUGAAGUUUGGAAUUCUGGGAAUUCUUCAGAGAAUAGUGGAACGGUUUAGGAUGUUGUGGAACCUUUCAUAGGUGAAGACUGGUUUGUGGAGCAACCAAGAACAAAUUCCUAGAUGAAGGCUAGAACCACAGACAACAUGUGUUCUCCCUGAUGAAACCGUGAACAGAAGGAAACCCUUCUUCCUCUAAGAGCCAAGAACUUGCCAAGAGGGCAGCGAGCCCCAGGAACACUCCCACUUCUCUCCCUGUCCCUGUCCCUGUCCCUGUCCCUGUCCCUGUCCCUGUCCCUGUCCCUGUCCCUGUCCCUGUCCCUGUCCCUCUCCCUCUCCCUCUCCCUCUCCCACUCCCCCUGCCACUCCCUCUCCCUCUCCCUCUCCCACUCCCCCUGCCACUUCCUCUUCCCCCCCCCCCUCUCUCCACAUAGUCAAGUGUGUGCUACCAUUCCCAGCAUUUUACACGACUCUUGACUUGAGUUCAGGUCCUCAUCCUCGCAAGGCCGUUCUUGCAUACUUUAUGGACCGAGCUGCUUCCUGGCCCUGUAUUGAAAUUUGGACAUUUAUUGAAAUUUAUGAAAAUUCAAAGAUUCUCUUCAGAAGUUCAACUUUUACAAUACAUCUUUCACUUUUUAUAGCAAUCAAGUACCUUUGUAAAUCUAUUUAUGAUCAUGUGUAGGCUAUACGGCAUCCCUUGAGACUUUCUUGUUAGGGAUAUAUGUGCAGUUUCGUAGAUUCCUGUGUUUCUGUAAGUUAGCUCUUACACAUGUUUUUUGAUUAGUCAUUCCUGAUGCAAUUGAACCUUUAAUGUUGUGUUGCACAGUGCCCUCCUGCUGGAUCUCUAUUAUGUCCAGACAAUUUUCGUUUGUGCCUUUGGAGUCUCGAGUUGGCUCUGGUAUGGCCCCAAACAGGGCAUCUUGUCCAUUGAGAUCUUUCAUAAUGGGAUUUUACGCUUCAUGUUACAAUGCACUGUCCAGGACAUUCUCUACAGCAUUAAACAGUAUUGGAGAUGCUUUCAUUUAUUCAUUUCAUUUAUUCAUUUUAAAAUAGUUUUAUGUGCAAAUAUGAAAUUGAUGCAGACAUUUAACAAGUGCUAAUUCAUAUCCCAAAUACUUUCUUCUGGUUUUGCCAUGCAAAGUGUUACGAAAUAAUGUGUAAAAAUCUACUGAUAUUAAAAUUCCCUUUUGCCUGUUAUAUAAAA